rnacentral:rRNA from 1 species
UGGGGAAUUUUGGACAAUGGGCGAAAGCCUGAUCCAGCAAUGCCGCGUGUGUGAAGAAGGCCUUCGGGUUGUAAAGCACUUUUGUCCGGAAAGAAAUCCUUGGCUCUAAUACAGUCGGGGGAUGACGGUACCGGAAGAAUAAGCACCGGCUAACUACGUGCCAGCAGCCGCGGUAAUACGUAGGGUGCAAGCGUUAAUCGGAAUUACUGGGCGUAAAGCGUGCGCAGGCGGUUUGCUAAGACCGAUGUGAAAUCCCCGGGCUCAACCUGGGAACUGCAUUGGUGACUGGCAGGCUAGAGUAUGGCAGAGGGGGGUAGAAUUCCACGUGUAGCAGUGAAAUGCGUAGAGAUGUGGAGGAAUACCGAUGGCGAAGGCGGCCCCCUGGGCCAAUACUGACGCUCAUGCACGAAAGCGUGGGGAGCAAACAGGAUUAGAUACCCUGGUAGUCCACGCCCUAAACGAUGUCAACUAGUUGUUGGGGAUUCAUUUCCUUAGUAACGUAGCUAACGCGUGAAGUUGACCGCCUGGGGAGUACGGUCGCAAGAUUAAAACUUAAAGG